rnacentral:rRNA from 1 species
AAGCUCGUAGUUGAAUUUCCAGUUCCUUUUUGUUUCGGGCCACUGUGUCUCUAUGGCCAGUGUUGCUUUCCGAAACGGGAACUUUAUUUCUGCUAGGCGCCCGUUUCUUCCAGUUCUGCUGGCGGAGGCGGUUUGUUGCCUAGCACUUUUACUUUGAAAAAAUUAGAGUGUUCAAAGCAGGCUUUUUAAGCUUGAAUAUCUUAGCAUGGAAUAAUAGAAUAGGACUUUGGUUCUAUUUUGUUGGUUUCUAGGACUAGAGUAAUGAUUAAUAGGGAUAGUUGGGGGCAUUAGUAUUUAAUUGUCAGAGGUGAAAUUCUUGGAUUUAGGAAAGACUAACUUCUGCGAAAGCAUUUGCCAAGGAUGUUUUCAUUAAUCAAGAACGAAAGUUAAGGGAUCGAAGAUGAUUAGAUACCAUCGUAGUCUUAACCAUAAACGAUGCCGACCAGGGAUCGGAUGAUUUGUAGUACUUUGUAAGACACAUCCGGCACCUUUUGAGAAAUCAAAGUUUUGGGUUCUGGGGGGAGUAUGGUCGCAAGGCUGAAACUUAAAGGAAUUGACGGAAGGGCACCACCAGGAGUGGAGCCUGCGGCUUAAUUUGACUCAACACGGGAAAA